GCCGGAAUAGCUCAGUUGGUAGAGCAGGGGACUGAAAAUCCUCGUGUCACCAGUUCAAAUACUGGCCCGUCGUUUUACAACCUCC
rnacentral:tRNA from 1 species